GGGGCGGUGGCGGAAUUGGCAGACGCGACGGACUUAAAAUCCGUUUCCCUCGGGAAUGUGGGUUCGACCCCCACCCGCCCUA
rnacentral:tRNA from 1 species